rnacentral:rRNA from 1 species
UACGAGGGGGGCGAGCGUUGUUCGGAAUUACUGGGCGUAAAGCGUGCGCAGGCGGCUUUGCAAGACAGAUGUGAAAUCCCCGGGCUUAACCUGGGAAUGGCAUUUGGGACUGCAAGGCUGGAGUGUGGCAGAGGAGACUGGAAUUCCUGGUGUAGCAGUGAAAUGCGUAGAUAUCAGGAGGAAUACCGAUGGCGAAGGCAGGUCUCUGGGCUGACACUGACGCUCAUGCACGAAAGCGUGGGGAGCAAACAGG